UACGAAGGGAGCUAGCGUUGUCCGGAUUUACUGGGCGUAAAGAGCGCGCAGGCGGUCGUUCAAGUCGCGUGUGAAAGCCCCCGGCUCAACUGGGGAGGGUCACGCGAUACUGAUCGACUCGAAGGCAGGAGAGGGUAGUGGAAUUCCCGGUGUAGUGGUGAAAUUCGUAGAUAUCGGGAGGAACACCAGUGGCGAAGGCGACUACCUGGCCUGUUCUUGACGCUGAGGUGCGAAAGCGUGGGGAGCAAACAGGG
rnacentral:rRNA from 1 species